GAUGAACGCUGGCGGCGUGCUUAACACAUGCAAGUCGAACGGAAAGGCCAGUGCUUGCACUGGUACUCGAGUGGCGAACGGGUGAGUAACACGUGGGUGAUCUGCCCUGCACUUCGGGAUAAGCCUGGGAAACUGGGUCUAAUACCGGAUAGGACAAUGGUUUGGAUGCCGUUGUGGAAAGUUUUUUCGGUGUGGGAUGAGCUCGCGGCCUAUCAGCUUGUUGGUGGGGUAAUGGCCUACCAAGGCGUCGACGGGUAGCCGGCCUGAGAGGGUGUACGGCCACAUUGGGACUGAGAUACGGGCCAGACUCCUACGGGAGGCAGCAGUGGGGAAUAUUGCACAAUGGGCGCAAGCCUGAGGCAGCGACGCCGCGUGGGGGAUGACGGCCUUCGGGUUGUAAACUCCUUUCGCUAGGGACGAAGCGUAUUUGUGACGGUACCUGGAGAAGAAGCACCGGCUAACUACGUG
rnacentral:rRNA from 1 species